AUGUGUUUUUUUUUCCUUCGUGUGUUCCCGACUAUUCUAACCACGUGUUUAUAUUUAAGUUGAAUCGACUUAUGUGUGUUAUGAGAAUGUGUGUGUGUGUGUGUAUGUUUAUAUACGUGUGUUUAUAUCGUAAACGCAAUAUAUUAAGGCCUCUUAGUUACUAACGACAGGUCGUCACGUUCUCAUCCUCCGAGCUACGACGCUACGACGAUACGAAGAUGGCGACAGAAUUUGCUUACCGCUUCUCUUCCAUCAGAAAAUUUUCCUUUUUUCGUCAAAAAAAAAAAAAAAAAAGGAAAAAGAAAUAUUGUAUUCCAACAUGUAUGUACACGCGAAAAUCGAAAAGUGCUUGGCUUUGUGUAUAUAAUACUCGCAUCUGGGGGCAAAAGUUGAUUUUUGCCCGAAAUUUGUUUGUAAGAAAGGACGAGAAACCUGCGUCUCCUCUUGCCUCGUCGCUUGGCCACCGAAUCUGAUGCAUGUGCGAUGAUGGAUCAAUCGGAAGGAUCACGGAGAGACAGGCCAGUCGAUGUUUAAGAUUUUAGAGAAGAGCGCUCGUUUCAUUAGAGCACCCCCUCUGGAGUGUGGUAUUUGAUGAUAUUUCAACAAGUGUGUAACGAGUUACGUAUGCAAAUUAUUGGGUAUGAUUUAAACUUUACUUUGAAUUAUGCUAAAUUCUUGUUUUUCCUUUUUUUUCUCUUUAGGAGACGAUUCCCUCUUCACAGUGAUCUUGAGUGAACCUGACCAAGUCUUUUAGAAGUUUGAGGAACUAUAAAAGGUAUCUUAAGUACGAUCUAAUCCCUAUCUUAAUUCGUUUUAAAUUUCUCUACUAUAUGUGGCUCACUGUCAUCGCGGAAUCAGACAUUGGAUUCUUGGCAGUAUUUGGUACAACAUCCUCGAAAUGGAAUUAUAGGUAUUAUUGACUGGCUCUGUCUCUCCAAAUAGAAACGAAAGCUUGAUUAAAA